AAUCUCAUUGACUGGAAGGGAUUCCUUCCGGUCAAUGAGAUGUAACAACCUCAUCGAUUGGAAGGGAUUCCUUCCAGUCAAUGAGGUA
rnacentral:miRNA from 1 species